rnacentral:rRNA from 1 species
GACGAACGCUGGCGGCGUGCCUAAUACAUGCAAGUCGAACGAAGCUGUUUUAACUGGUGCUUGCACCGACUUAAACAACUGAGUGGCGAACGGGUGAGUAACACGUGGGUAACCUGCCCCAAAGCGGGGGAUAACAUUUGGAAACAGAUGCUAAUACCGCAUAAUCACAGAAACCACAUGGUUUCUGUGUCAAAGAUGGUUUCGGCUAUCACUUUGGGAUGGAUCCGCGGCGUAUUAGCUAGUUGGUAAGGUAAUGGCUUACCAAGGCAAUGAUACGUAGGCGAACUGAGAGGUUGAGCGGCCACAUUGGGACUGAGACACGGCCCAAACUCCUGCGGGAGGCAGCAGUAGGGAAUCUUCCACAAUGGACGAAAGUCUGAUGGAGCAACGCCGCGUGAGUGAAGAAGGUUUUCGGAUCGUAAAACUCUGUUGUCAGAGAAGAACGUGUGCGAGAGUAACUGUUCGUGCAGUGACGGUAUCUGGCCAGAAAGCCACGGCUAACUACGUGCCAGCCGCCGCAGUAA